UGGUGACCAGCGGUGAGAGAGACAAUACUGUCCUCAUGCCAUGAUGGUGGUAAACGAGGAGAACGUGAGCUGGGGUCUCCUGGCCAACUGUACCCCCCGCCCCCCACCGCCCUGAUGGCCAGGGCUGUGUCCGGGGCUCAGGGCACAAGGCUCCAUUAGCUGGACAGCAGCUGGCCCGUGAAACAGCCCUUUCAGCUCCACCUCUGAAUGGCAGUUCUGUGGGCUCCUCGGAGGAACACAGGCGCCUUCUCUGUGUCGCUUCUCCACUCAUUAGCAGAGCUGCAGAAAUACACUACAGUGGCAUGCACACCAGACUUUGAGGAAUCCUGUGAAGUGAAACGGCUUUAGAAUCAAAGAGAGCUGGGCUUCAGUCCCUGUCACAGGCCGGCGGUGGUGACUUCCGGUAAGUCCCUCCCUCUUCUGCCUGUCUGUUUCGUGUCUGUAGCACUGGAACUCUAAUGCUAAUGACACAGGGAAGUUGUGAGGAAGAGAUGCAGUGAAUGCUACAUCGAUGUUUACUUGGUUUCUUGCUCUAGUUUUUUUCUUUUUUUUUUUUUUUUUGUUUAAAAUGGGAUCUCAUUCUGUCACCCAGGCUGGAGUGCAGGGGCACUAUCACAGCUCACUGCAGCCUUGACCCCCUGGCUUCUGGUGAUCUUCCCACCUCAGCCUCCUGAGUAGCUGGGUCCACAGGUGUUCACCACCUCACCCAGCCAAUUUUUUAUAUUUUUGGUAGAGACAGGGUUUUACCAUGUUGCCCAGGCUAGUCUUGAACUCCUAAGCUCAAGUGAUCCGCCCACCUCGACCUCCCAAAGUGCUGGGAUUACAGGUGUGAGCCACCACAACUGGCCAGUGCUUACUGUUUUUACACCUGCUUGCAUCAGUCAGGCUAGGAUAGGCUACAUUGCAAUAACAAACACGCCCCCACAUCACCAUGGCUUAAUACAGGGUUUGCUUCUCUUUCAUGGCACCAUCCAGUACCAGGCAGGUGACCCCACAUAGGCCCUCUCCAAAGCAGCCUCCACCAUUUCCAAGUCCUUGUCUCUGGCCACUUGGACAAGAGAGAGACAGCAAGCAUCUCUCUUAACUGCCUCAGACAAGGAGUACACAUCACCUGACUCUACCUGGAUGCCCAGGGGCAGGAUAUGGGCAUUGAGUUACUGUGACAGUUUCUGUCACGCUGUCACCAUUCCCUGGGACAGAGGGAGGGGGAGCCUUUGUUAGCCCUGUAUCACCUCUAGAUGGAAAUUCAGACUUAGCUGGCGUUUAAAGCUCUUCACAGUCAGCUUCCUUUCCCCUGCCAGGCCAUUGUCACUCUUUCCCUUUCUCUCCCUCUCCUUGCCUCCCGCCAUCUCCCUCUUUUCUCUAGCACAGAAUGAGUCACUCCUCCUCAGUCCUCAGAGCCUCCCACAUAGACUCCAGCCCCCCCACUAACACCCUAUCAGAGUUUGCAGUCAAUACAUGGUGGCCCAUUUUAUUUGUGGGAAAAUGUCAAACCUUGAAGCUCAGGCUCUGAAGGAAACUCAAAGGUCAUGUACACCUGGCCACCCACGCUACUCACCUGCUUGUUAAAAAUACAAGUUGCAUCCCUGCCACAGGCCUACUUGGGGCCAGAGGGUCAGCCCUCACCCCAGGAGUGGCUGUGAGAGCUUCCCAUGAGGAAUGCGCUUUCGGUCAAUCACACUGGAAGAAGAAAUGAGCAUUUGGAGGAGUGAGCCCAGUUUAGCACUGGGAACUCUAGCUGGCCCAGUUAAGACCCUGACCCAUGGCCCUUCAGCCCACCAUGGGUUCAGCUCACCCACAGCUGCAGCAGGCAGUUCCCAGGGACUCGGGCAGUGGGCCAGGCAGCCCGGGGUUUGAUCAUCCCCAGGGAUAACAUGCAGCCUGCAGGGAUCAGAAGACCCCAACAUCCCCAUCCCCCACCAGACAGUUCUGAGACAUGCUCCUCGCUGCUCCUCAGAAGGUCCCCAGCAGGAGUGAGCCCAGUUGCCCACAGAGGUGACCUGCUUAUUAAUGCACAUUUUCUUGGCUUUUAUCCUGUCCCCACCUCACUCCCCCUCACUGUAUUUCCUGGGAUUGCCUCCCAAAUAAGCUACCUGUGCCCAAGUCCUUUUCUCAGGAUACCUGGCCACAUCCCCAGACCUUGGCCCUGCUGUUUCCCAGAUUGGCAUGUCCCCACAGUACGGGGAGCCGAGGAAGCGGCAGGUGAGUGUCCUGUUCUACCAUCUGGACCACUGAGAUGGCAUCAAAAUUGUUUCCCAGGAGGAUGCUGUUUAUGCAUUUAGAGCUGCGGAUCCCUCAUGCCAGCAGCUCUCCACUGUGCCCACGGACCAUCGGAGCACUUUUGGUGGCUAAUUAGAGAGGCUUCCCCCUGGAGACCCAGGAGACAGGCUGGAAUGUGAGCAUGGGUUCCCUGAGAGCCUAUCCAAGCAGGCAGUGGGCAAGGCCUGUGGCUGUGGAUACACACAGGGGCUGCCUCUUACGCCCUCCACAGAGGCUUUGCUGCCACCCAAAGACCCAAGGAGAACCCCAGGUGGGUCCCGCUCCUGACUUCCUUUAACCUAGAACUGCUUUUCUUCACCCUUAAAUGGUUUCACUGCAAAUUGGAGACGUCGCCAGAGUACCAGAUGGGGCAUGAAUCUCUGGCCUUCCCAAAAGUCAGACAGAGACCCAGUAACGUGGGGUGGCCCCAGGCACAGGGCAGGUUCCUCAUCCACAAAGUGGCCAUCCUUAUCCUCCCACCCAGGAGCGUGCAGUGCAGCUGGACUGCUCCUCCUGCCCAGUCCCCGUUCAGGCCACAGUCCCUGUGAUCCAAGGUGCCACAUGUGGUUCAUGAAACCUCCCAUGUGCUGUCUUGGCCUCAGGCUCUACACACGGUCAGUCAAGCUGACAUUCAGGGUGAGGAGGCAUGUGCUUUCAUCUGUGGAUCUGUCCGGGGUGGCCACGGCAUAGCAGCACGUCCUGCUGAUGGGUUCACCUCUGAGAACCUGGGUAACACCCGCCUAAACCUGACAUCCCACCCACAUGUUGGCAAAUAGCACUCACAACUCAACCUCCCUCCCUCCCUCCUCGCUCUCCUGAACUCCAGACCUAUAGACCCAGCUGCCUCCUAAGCACCUCUCGUUGUAUGUCCCCUAAGAUAGCAUGAGUCCAGCACCACCAAAACUCGGUGCAUCCUUUUCCAUCCCCUGUUCCAUGUCCUCUGCUCAGAGCUGGGCACCACCAUCCUGGGGCCUGCAACGGCUGCAAUCUCCCUGCUGCCCCCGAGGCCUGCCCCUUAUUUCCGAGCCCUCCCAAGAGGGCUCAGAGCCUGGCAGAGGGAUUAAAUGAGGGCCUUGUGAGGUGGAAAGACCCAGAGGAAGGGCGAGGUUACCCAGAAAGGUCCAGAGAGACAAGCUCAGGUCCAGUCGGGUAGACUGAAGUCCAAGCGAGCUCUGCCCCUUGGCUGACGCGUGACUUUGGGCAGAUGCAGUCCCCUCCCUGAACCUCAGGAAUGAUCCCCACCCAGCACCUGUCUCGUAAGGCCACAGGGAGAUCCGUGGAGCCAGCACACUGAAGGGCCUGCUCAAUUGCAGGGACCCUUCCUGCUACCAUCACAGCCCCCGAAAAACCUGAGGCUGCCCUGCUUAGCACCCCAGGUUUAAUUUUACCAGCUCUUUUUUCCCUCCAAGAGACAGCCAGUUCAGGCUGCCCUCACCUGCCCAGGCCCCCUCCAUCCUGGGGCCGGCUCCCUUCCAAGCAUGAAGCUCAAACAGACACUCUCAGUGGGUCCAAACCAUCACAGCCCUGUCAAAGGACCCCUGUGUGAGCCUGAAACAGGGCAUUGAUCAGCCUCAGUGAGGGCUGCCCAGGCGAUCGUUGGCUCGCUUGGCUUGGCUGGCCAUGCGACUUCCCCAAACCCAGCUAUUUCCUGUCCCUCGGGUGGCCCCCUCCCAGCUGCCUGGCCACAGGACACAAUCCCACUACAGAGCUCCACCUGUUCCUCGGCUCCAGGCCAGAGGUGGAAGUCGGCGAAGGCGGGAAGCAUGGGAGAGUCAUGCUGGCCAGUUCAGGGCCUCCUGGUCCUUGUGACACACGUAGCCACAGCCCUUCGGUCUCCUUGUGAUAGGAUGCAAAGCUGGGCCAAUUUCUCUCCUCCCAUGACCUCUGCUCCCAAUCCACACUUACUGGGGCUUCUCAGCAGGUCCUCUUCCUGUGGGUCUUUGCAAGAAGCAACAGCUCACACAGACUGGGGCCCCAGCCCCUCUAACAGCCUCCACCUGGAGUAGAAAAGAAAGGCUCUUGGUCUCAUCUCCGAUCACUGUGUGGCCUCAGGAAAAUCACUUGCUGUCUCUGGGUCUCUGCCUCAAGUGUGAACAGGAGCUCCCUUUCCAUUUCUGUGAGUCAUGCUGCACCGAUUGCUUGUGGGUCUGAUAACAAGCAGGUAACAUCCAUGAAGAAAUCUGCCAUUUCCAAGAAAAGCUGACACCACCAGACGGUUGACAAUGCUGCUCAAACUCAUUCCUGUCCCUGCCUCCCCACAGGACGAUUUCCCCAAGCCCUUUUAGGGGACCCUGCAUUUGGGCCCUUCCUUCCUCAUAACUCCUUGGCCCAAAAUCCUUCAAAGAUGCCUGUCUCAGGAUUAGUCCAUGUUCCUUGGCAUGACAUUCAAGGCACUAUGAGGUCUCUCUUGGUACUGGUGAAAGAUCCCAGUUCAAAGCGCCUUGGUCUCUUUAUUAACUUUACUCUCAGGAAAGCCCUGAACCGCUUAGCCAUACCAGGGGAAAAAAGAUAAGGGAUGGAGAAAGAGAAAGAGACAUUAUUAAAGAAUUGGAGUCCUGGAUCCUGCCAUACCUGAAGCCCCAAAUCCCUGGAUUUUUUAUUUAUAUGAGAGCCAAAAAACACCAUGAACCCCCUUUUUGUUUUUCAUAAUAAAGUUGGCUCAUAAGGCUUCUGCUAAUUGCAACCAUGUCCUUCCUGUAAAUUCCCUUCUUGGCUGAACUUAGCCAGGUGAGCUUGCAGCCAAACAGCCCUACUGUGUGCAAACACUCUUCCUGACCCAGGCCCCAACAGCUGGCUGUCCUCCUCUCCCUGCCCCCAACACUCGAAGCCACACCUAGCGGCUUGACCCAGCUCCUGUUCCCCGUGCCACAGAGUCCUUGCACGUCCUUCUGCCUAGGCCUAGAGCACCCUUCCCACUCUGCUUCCUGCUGCCUUCUCAUCCUUCAGACCACUUGGUGACACCCUCCAAGAGGCCUUCUCUGGAACUCAAGCCAUGUCUGAGGUCCCCCAGGCCUUCUCUGUCACGGCAGCCCUUUUGCAGAUCUGUCCCUCCUACCCCAGACUGGGGGAACUGGAGAUGAGUCUGACCUGCUGAGGUCACCCCAGCAUCCAGAGCAGAAUCUGGGCCUGGGGAGUGGAGCACAUGCCCGAUUUGGGAGACAUCAGGGUGCUUCAUCAAGGGCUGUGAUUCAUGAUCAGAAAUGGCAUCCGGUCAUGACCACCCCGCACUCAGUAUGGCCCAUGGGAGGAGUUUCUGGACUGAACAACCAGAAGCACAUGAGCCAGAGAGAAGUUUGUUGCUGCUUUAUUGAAACUUCCUCCCUGUCGCACACAAAGCAAUUACACAAGGGGGUG